rnacentral:sRNA from 1 species
UAAAUCGUACGAUAGUUGUGCGUCGAAA